rnacentral:rRNA from 1 species
CGCAGCGGCUACAGCGCGUUGAAUGCAACAGUUCCCAUUGGACCACUGAAGUUAAAGAACGCUGCGCGAGGUUGGUAUCUGAAUGAGUGACCAUUUGGACAAUCGCCUGCUUCUGGCU